UACGGAGGGUGCAAGCGUUGUCCGGAAUCACUGGGCGUAAAGGGCGCGUAGGCGGCUCGGUAAGUAGGGGGUGAAAUCCUGCGGCUUAACCGCAGGGCUGCCUUCUAAACUGUCGAGCUCGAGCACGGUAGAGGCAGAUGGAAUUCCCGGUGUAGCGGUGGAAUGCGUAGAUAUCGGGAGGAACACCUGUGGCGAAGGCGGCCCCCUGGUUGGAUACUGACGCUGAGACGCGAAAGCGUGGGGAGCAAACAGG
rnacentral:rRNA from 1 species